rnacentral:rRNA from 1 species
UGGGGAAUUUUGGACAAUGGGCGCAAGCCUGAUCCAGCCAUGCCGCGUGUGGGAAGAAGGCCUUCGGGUUGUAAACCACUUUUGUCAGGGAAGAAACGGCCUGAUCUAAUACAUUGGGUUAAUGACGGUACCUGAAGAAUAAGCACCGGCUAACUACGUGCCAGCAGCCGCGGUAAUACGUAGGGUGCGAGCGUUAAUCGGAAUUACUGGGCGUAAAGCGUGCGCAGGCGGCUUUGCAAGACAGAUGUGAAAUCCCCGGGCUCAACCUGGGAACUGCAUUUGUGACUGCAAGGCUAGAGUACGGUAGAGGGGGAUGGAAUUCCGCGUGUAGCAGUGAAAUGCGUAGAUAUGUGGAGGAAUACCGAUGGCGAAGGCAGCCCCCUGGGUCGAUACUGACGCUCAUGCACGAAAGCGUGGGGAGCAAACAGGAUUAGAUACCCCUGAGCGGGCUGGCAAGGCGCAU